rnacentral:rRNA from 1 species
GAUGAACGCUGGCGGCGUGCCUAAUACAUGCAAGUCGAGCGAACAGACGAGGAGCUUGCUCCUCUGACGUUAGCGGCGGACGGGUGAGUAACACGUGGAUAACCUACCUAUAAGACUGGGAUAACUUCGGGAAACCGGAGCUAAUACCGGAUAAUAUAUUGAACCGCAUGGUUCAAUAGUGAAAGACGGUUUUGCUGUCACUUAUAGAUGGAUCCGCGCCGCAUUAGCUAGUUGGUAAGGUAACGGCUUACCAUGGCAACGAUGCGUAGCCGACCUGAGAGGGUGCUCGGCCACACUGGAACUGAGACACGGUCCAGACUCCUACGGGAGGCAGCAGUAGGGAAUCUUCCGCAAUGGGCGAAAGCCUGACGGAGCAACGCCGCGUGAGUGAUGAAGGUCUUCGGAUCGUAAAACUCUGUUAUUAGGGAAGAACAAAUGUGUAAGUAACUAUGCACGUCUUGACGGUACCUAAUCAGAAAGCCACGGCUAACUACGUG